UGCGUAGGCGGUCGGGUAAGUCUGACGUGAAAUCUCCGAGCCUAACUCGGAAACUGCGUCGGAUACUAUUCGGCUAGAGGAAUGGAGGGGAGACUGGAAUACUUGGUGUAGCAGUGAAAUGCGUAGAUAUCAAGUGGAACGCCAGUGGCGAAGGCGAGUCUCUGGACAUUUCCUGACGCUGAGGCAAGCCAGGGGAGCGAAACG
rnacentral:rRNA from 1 species